GAAGCAAGACCAUUUACCGAUGGUGGCUUCAGAGAAACUUGACAUUUACCGAUGUCAAACUUAGCAAGGCCAUUUACCGAUGGCUGCUGCAACUGGGAAUUCGAUAUUUACCGAUAUCGAAGAAACUGGCCAUUUACCGCAUGGCAUCGCUUGGGGAGGAACAAAAUCUUUGUGGUAAUACCGGACAACGUUUACCGACGACCUCUG
rnacentral:lncRNA from 1 species